rnacentral:rRNA from 1 species
UACGAAGGGGGGCUAGCGUUGCUCGGAAUCACUGGGCGUAAAGGGCGCGUAGGCGGACUUUUAAGUCGGAGGUGAAAGCCCAGGGCUCAACCCUGGAAUUGCCUUCGAUACUGGGAGUCUUGAGUUCGGAAGAGGUUGGUGGAACUGCGAGUGUAGAGGUGAAAUUCGUAGAUAUUCGCAAGAACACCAGUGGCGAAGGCGGCCAACUGGUCCGAUACUGACGCUGAGGCG